rnacentral:rRNA from 1 species
AUGAACGCUGGCGGCGUGCCUAAUACAUGCAAGUCGAGCGAACAGACGAGGAGCUUGCUCCUCUGACGUUAGCGGCGGACGGGUGAGUAACACGUGGAUAACCUACCUAUAAGACUGGGAUAACUUCGGGAAACCGGAGCUAAUACCGGAUAAUAUAUUGAACCGCAUGGUUCAAUAGUGAAAGACGGUUUUGCUGUCACUUAUAGAUGGAUCCGCGCCGCAUUAGCUAGUUGGUAAGGUAACGGCUUACCAAGGCGACGAUGCGCAGCCGACCUGAGAGGGUGAUCGGCCACACUGGAACUGAGACACGGUCCAGACUCCUACGGGAGGCAGCAGUAGGGAAUCUUCCGCAAUGGGCGAAAGCCUGACGGAGCAACGCCGCGUGAGUGAUGAAGGUCUUCGGAUCGUAAAACUCUGUUAUUAGGGAAGAACAAAUGUGUAAGUAACUAUGCACGUCUUGACGGUACCUAAUCAGAAAGCCACGGCUAACUACGUG